ensembl:lncRNA CD200R1L-AS1 CD200R1L antisense RNA 1
ACCAAAUGAUAGACACUAAUCUCCAUUUCUUAGAAAUGAGGAAAUAAAACCACAAAAUGUACAAAGUCAGAUCUAAAACCCCUACCUUUGGGUCCAGACUUUUCUUCUAAAGUUCUGCAGUUAUACCCAGAUGCCACAGAAACAUAGGAUCUUAGAGGAGAAGUAACUUAGCAUUUCAUGGAUGGUGCUGCAUCUGUAAGCGAGGAUGGACAAAUGUGUCCAGAACAAGCAGUUGUAACUAUUGUGAGGCCCCAUCUGGAACAGAAGGAGAAGAGACAUUCUAGGGAGGAACACACCAAUGUGUGCAUGAGGAGCAUUUGGAAACAG